rnacentral:rRNA from 1 species
GUGAACGCUGGCGGUGCGCCUAAACAUGCAAGUCGAACGGGUUUAGACCCGUGGCGAACGGCUGCGUAACACAUGGGUACCUGCCCCGAACUCAGGAAUAACCCGCCGAAAGGCGGACUAAUACCGGAUGCCCUCGCAAGAGGAAAGCUUUCGCGGUUCGGGAGGGGCCUGUGGCCUAUCAGCUAGUUGGUAAGGUAACGGCUUACCAAGGCUAUGACGGGUAGCUGGUCUGAGAGGACGACCAGCCAGAAUGGAACUGAGACACGGUCCAUACUCCUACGGGAGGCAGCAGUUAGGAAUCUUCCGCAAUGGGCGCAAGCCUGACGGAGCGACACCGCGUGAAGGAUGAAGCCCUUUUUGGGUGUAAACUUCUGUUCUGAGGGAAGAAAUUUUUGACGGUACCUCAGUAGAAAGCACCGGCUAAUUCUGUGCCAGCAGCCGCGGUAAU